rnacentral:rRNA from 1 species
AUGUCCUUCAGGAACAGAGGCAAGCAUGGCCCAGAGUGCCGUAGGGCGCCCUCUAAAAUGUCGGCAAUAGAGCAACGCCUGUAUCAAUUCAAAGACCGUAAGGGAGCAGAAAUAUUCGAGCCUACUGUUGGAACAACAUUUGACUCCAGCCAAGAAGCAUACGAAUUUUAUAAUCUGUACUCAUGGGAAUGUGGAUUCGGUAUUCGUCAUGGGAAGAGCAGAACUAACACAAACAACUAUAGGAGCAUGCACGAGCUAGUCUGCCAGUGCGCGGACAAGGCGAGAAAGGAAAACGCAUCAUCAUGCAAAACUGAUUGCAAGGCAAUGAUCAAAUUGCUUCGUACAAAGGACCAUGGCUGGUAUGUGAGUGCAUUCGUCAAAGAACACAACCAUCGGUUGUCAUUGGGAUAUGAUGCGAAGAUGCAGUGGAAUUCGCACAAUCAUAUUGACGCAAUAUCACAGGAUUUCAUAAAAAAUCUCCGUGAGAAUAACAUCAGUAUAACUAAGGUCUAUAACAUACUGGGCGGACUUGGAGCUGGUCCGCAAGCUGUGCCAUACCGCAAGCAGUUGAUGCGUACAUUGUGCUCCAGGUACUCCCAGGAAACUAUAAAAGAUGACCUGUCCAAAACAAUGAGUCUCCUGCAAGAGAUGAAGGCUCAGGACAACAACUUGAAGGUGGAGGUUGAUGUGGAUGCAGAGGGACGAGUCCGAUCGAUGUUGUGGUGUACCGGCAAGAACCGUCAGGAUUAUGUGCACUUUGGAGACGUGGUCACUUUCGACACAACUUACAAAACAAAUCUAUAUAACAUGCCAUUUGGUCUAUUUGUUGGCGUCAACAACCACUUCCAGUCGGUUAUCUUUGGAGGUGUCUUGAUGCGUGAAGAAACCGAAGUGGCAUUCAAGUGGGUGUUUAGCACGUUCGUCACCAUUAUGGACAACAAACAACCCGUUACUAUUCUUACAGACCAGGCACAGGCAAUGAAGGGUGCAAUCGAGUCUGCGCUUCCAGAAGCAAGGCAUCGUUGGUGCAAAUGGCAUGUUCUGUGAGACGCCAAAGAAAAGAUCGGCCAUGUGUACAACAAAUUCUCUGGAUUCAAGAAGCAAUUUCACCCUCUCAUCAAUGAUAUUAUGUGUGUGGAGGAGUUUGAAGACAGGUGGUCCAAGUUGGUAGCAAAAUACAAACUCAACAACAAUGAUUACAUGACAAGGCUUUUCGACAAGAGAGCAAUGUGGGCCAAGCCGUAUUUCAAGGAGAUUUUCUGCGCAGGGAUGACAAGCACCCGAAGGAGCGAGAGUGCCAAUCAUAUGUUGAAGCAGUACAUACAACGAUCAUCUCCCAUGCAUGUUUUUGUUCGUCAAUACGGGAAGUUUCUCGGUGCCAGAAGGAGCGAGGAGGCUAGGGAAGCACACAUGACAGCAAACGUAAGCCUAUAG